rnacentral:rRNA from 1 species
GAUGAACGCUGGCGGCGUGCCUAAUACAUGCAAGUCGAGCGAACGGACGAGAAGCUUGCUUCUCUGAUGUUAGCGGCGGACGGGUGAGUAACACGUGGAAACCUACCUAUAAGACUGGGAUAACUUCGGGAAACCGGAGCUAAUACCGGAUAAUAUUUUGAACCGCAUGGUUCAAAAGUGAAAGACGGUCUUGCUGUCACGUAUAGAUGGAUCCGCGCUGCAUUAGCUAGUUGGUAAGGUAACGGCUUACCAAGGCAACGAUGCAUAGCCGACCUGGGAGGGUGAUCGGCCACACUGGAACUGAGACACGGUCCAGACUCCUACGGGAGGCAGCAGUAGGGAAUCUUCCGCAAUGGGCGAAAGCCUGACGGAGCAACGCCGCGUGAGUGAUGAAGGUCUUCGGAUCGUAAAACUCUGUUAUUAGGGAAGAACAUAUGUGUAAGUAACUGUGCACAUCUUGACGGUACCUAAUCAGAAAGCCACGGCUAACUACGUG